GACUCGUGUUGUUAUUUUCAGUUAGAUAAGAUGUUUCAGAACCCCGGAAUGUACCCACAUAUGGAUAGAUUGUGUUUUUAGUUUUGUAUAAAGGACGGGGAAUGUUAGGGGAAUUUCGGAAUCCACCUGAGACGCUAGCAGACGUGCUGCGUGUGAAUACCGAAUUUCCCCUUGAGACGAUCGUCCUGAGAUUCCCCGAUCCAGAGUGCUCAAGUGAUGCUACAAUAUUCGCAGAUGCACAAGCCGCCAUUGCUAAGUCAUCUCAGGAGCCAGUGGCAGGCGAGACGAAGGAAUUGGAAUCAUGGUUACAGGGUACAGCCCUUUGGGCACACCAAAAGAGUGGACAUCUGGGAGAAAAGGCAACUUACAGAUUGUCGUGAGGCUCAGUCUUGGAAUCCUUGGAAUUGUAUUAUUGGUCGUCCCCUCUAGUACAUGGACACCUGGAUUGAAGAUAGAGAAACGAGAGUUGCAUACUGUACGGUGGGGAUGGAACAAUGCCACCAUACCAAGAACCCAAGAUAAUUUCACUUGUCAGGCCAAUCAGCGCUGUACUAAUAUAGUAAAUAUAACAAUUCCAGGAACGAUGUGGGCUGGACCGCCUGAUCCACAAAGAAACAGAUAUCGACCUACAUUUGCCUUACAUCAGUCAGAAGGCAAUAUCACAAUUAAUGCUGCAGUAAAUAUAAGUUGCUGCUCCAAACCUUAUAGGUUCCGAUUUCUCCCUAAAGAAGAGAAGAAUAAAGAAUAUAAGAAUUGUUCUAAACAAGGAGCAACCACAUUUCGGUUAGCUGUAAAAGACGUUUUAAUUUUGGUAUGUCAUA